CUUCGCUUCAUUUCAUAAUGUCUCGAGGGGUGUUGCGUUUCAGAGGGUCUAUGCCACCAUCUACCACUGCCUAAGUUUCCGCUUGAAAGUGUCUUUGACCAUGGAGGGUGACAGUCCCGUAUGGCAGCUUCCCGUGAGGGUUAGGUGUGAUGGUGGACAGGGCCUCUCUGUAGAGUCAGGUUGCCUAAUAUUGCAACCUAAAGUAGGUGGUAAACUCCAUCUAAGGCUAAAUAUUCCCACGAGACCGAUAGCGAACAAGUACCGUGAGGGAAAGUUGAAAAGGACUUUGAAGAGAGAGUUCAAUAGUACGUGAAACCGUUAAGAGCCUAAACGGAUGGGACCAAUGCAGAUCGAACUGAGGGGAUUCAGCUCGCCGGCAUCAUCUCAUUAUAAGGUUGAAAGCAGAAUUGUGAAGUGACCUGAGCCAUGGAUUGAGCAGCAGAAGUAAAUCUUGUUCUGUUGUAAUACAUCCUAUCAGGCAUGCCUUAUAAUCGAUCGAUGUUGUUGGUUGGCGUAUUUCGCCUCUGAAGUAGAUCACUGCGACCUGUUGCGGGGAAGUCGAAGGCCCGGGUGGAUUGGUAGCCUUAUGCCAAUUACGGUAUUGUGAUCCUUGGCAACAAUCUGAACAAGUGAGCCUUGGUGAGCAGCUGUAUGUCGGUGUUUUGUGAAACCUCCGGUGACAUAUCCUAACUGCCCUGCGAUAGUUGUUAGUGGAGCCUUUCCCACGGGAUUGGCUCUCGCAGUGUGUGCAAAGAGGGCCAGGAACCAACCGACCCGUCUUGAAACACGGACCAAGGAGUCUAACAUGUAUGCGAGUCUAAGGGUGUUACUAAACCCAUG
rnacentral:rRNA from 1 species